GCGUGCGGCGCUGGAGGAGCUGGUGAAACUUCAGGGAGAGCGCGUGCGAGGCCUCAAGCAGCAGAAGGCCAGCGCCGAGCUGAUCGAGGAGGAGGUGGCGAAACUCCUGAAACUGAAGGCACAGCUGGGUCCUGAUGAAAGCAAACAGAAAUUUGUGCUCAAAACCCCCAAGGGCACAAGAGACUAUAGUCCCCGGCAGAUGGCAGUUCGCGAGAAGGUGUUUGACAUAAUCAUCCGUUGCUUCAAGCGCCACGGUGCAGAAGUCAUUGAUACACCUGUAUUUGAACUAAAGGUGAGGAAUGGGCAAGAAGAAACUACAUGGUAGAUGAGUGGGCAUUUGAAUAACAAAGAAGAUGACAACAAGAGAGUGAGGGUCCAAAGGGCCCACUCCUGUUGUGGACACAGACCAGUCUUUGCUCCAAUAAGAAGCGGGACAAGAAUGGCUUGGAGGGAGAGGCCCUGUCUUUUAUUAUCUUGGUUGUGGCCAGCAGAUUCCAAAAGAGAGCCAUUCUUUGGAGUGGUAAUUGUUCUGGGUCCUCUCUACAUUGUAUUGCGUGGCAUCUGUACUUGGAAUAUUUUCUAGAUUCAUGCAAACCAUACGUACAUAAAUAUGCAACCACUCUCCUGUUGA
rnacentral:sRNA from 1 species